rnacentral:rRNA from 1 species
AUUGAACGCUGGCGGCCGGCCUAACACAUGCAAGUCGAACGAGUGGCGGACGGGUGAGUAAUGUCUGGGAAACUGCCUGAUGGAGGGGGAUAACUACUGGAAACGGUAGCUAAUACCGCAUACCAUCGGAUGUGCCCAGAGGGGAUUAGCUAGUAGGUGGGGUAAAGGCUCACCUGGGCGACGAUCCCUAGAUGGUCUGAGGGGAGGACCAGCCACACUGGAACUUGGACACGGUCCAGCCUCCUACGGGAGGCAGCAGUGGGAGAUAUUGCACAAUGGGCGCAAGCCUGAUGCAGCCAUGCCGCGUGUAUGAAGAAGGCCUUCGGGUUGUAAAGUACUUUCAGCGGGGAGGCGUUACCCGCAGAAGAAGCACCGGCUAACUCCGUGCCAGCCGCCGCGGUAAUUC